CUACGUCACUUAAAAAAAUGAAUUUGUAACAGUUGCGUAGUUCAUAAAUUUUAGUCCCUCCCCCUUCAUUUUCUAACAAUUUUCCCAGCCCUUUCACCGCAUCUGUUUGCUGCCCAUGUGAAAAUUUUAUACAAAUCUUUGAUCUUCAAGCCAGUGAUGAGGACUUAAUUCGGCGGUCAUGACUUGACUGUGGUGAUUUUAUGCUUCCUGAGGCUAUCACCUUUACCACAAAAAUUGUGUAGUCAAGUUCAAAUUCUCAUCAGCAGAUUUUGAAACAAGAAAUUUUAAUCUUUUCUCAAGGUCAAGAUGGCGUCAAGAAAAGCAGUGCUGGAGUUUUCAGCACAUCUCGCACGUGUACCAUGGACACAGAGAACACCAAUAAUUUCAGCAGGCCCCGUUCCAUGAUAUUUUGCUGGACGUCAUGUGCAGUAUAAGGAGUCUUCUGACACCAAGAUGCAGUUGUUCCACGGAGCCCAGCUAGUCCUUUGAAAAGGAUAAGGCCAUGAGGAAACCAUGUAUACAUCUGAGGACAUAAAAAUUAAGGCCUAACACUAGCAGGGU